rfam:Picea glauca, whole genome shotgun sequence.
GUAAUGGUGUCUUUAGACACCACCAUAUAUAUUCAAAAUUCUUGUU